AUUUCAAAAUAGCUUAGACAGGGAACAGAACGGAGUCUGGUGUCCAGCCAACCAGUCCAGGUAACACCAGUGCUUUAUGACCAACUAAGAAAGACUCUUGCCUUCCUUGGCUGAUUCUUAGCCCCUUCCAAGGGACUGUGGAAGGCCAAAUGUAAAAGACAUGGUCUUGUCUUGAUUGGCAAGUGUUCUGUGUCUCUCACAGAACAAAAGUGAGUGCACAUUUCCAACCAGGAAGCUCCACGAAGUCUUUGUAACUCAGUAAUAUUUCUCUGUGUGACUUGAUCUUUAGUUAUUUAAGUCAAGGGUGUAAAUUUCGACUGUCUUUUACAAAAGACACCAGAAAUAUCACCAUAGAAUCAGCAGUGAAAAAAGCUAAGUGGUAAAAUUAAUUCCCAAUAUCUGGACAAUGGAAAUUCUCAAAACAAUCACUAAACCAUCUCCAAGCUUAUUAUGCAUCCUCCUUCAGGGGCAGACAUGGUGAGAGGCUCCUGUUCUGCUGCGGGCGUCCUGCUGGACCUGACAUUAGCAAACAGGGAGAACUCUUCCUUGUUUGAUUGCUGCCCCUAAAGCUCCCAGGGCUGCUUGAAUUUGGUCUCUUACUUAUGGGGUAUGAAUGUGAAUAGAAAAUCAUAGUCUGAGAACCAGUGCCCUGAAGAAGUGCUUGUACCCCACAAGAAAGAGUCCAGCCAAUGGAAGGCAAUACCACAGAAAGCACUCCGCAUCCUCUCCCUCACUCCACUUCCCCUCGUCUUGGCCCACUCUUCUCAACCACAAAGCCAGAAGAUAAACUAGGUGGUGGUUUGGGAUAGUUGUACACAGGAUCAAAAUCUCUAGUAACCUAUCAUUUUUAGUACUUAAUUUUGUGAUGUUUUAUUCUAGGAAAUUACAGACAGAUGACACCAUUGAUGUAUCUUUCUUUCAUCUUCAGAAUUUUUGCAUCUUUUCAAAAAAAAUGACAAAUUACUAUUUUUCUGUUGCAUUCAGCAAUUGUGACUAUACCUAAAAUUCUUGUAGUCUGUAGAGAUAAUCAAUAAAAUUGUAUAUGUUUGUACAUAGAUGCUCUCUUAUGUCAUGAUGUCACAUACUGUUGAUAUUUGGCCAAGAUUAAAUAUAUAGAGGUCAAACACACAUUUGCAAACUGUUAACUAUAGUUUUACCAAGAAUGGAUUUUUUUAACGUAGAAGGGAUGGGGGGCAUACUGAUUUGAG
rnacentral:lncRNA from 1 species